rnacentral:rRNA from 1 species
AUUGAACGCUGGCGGCAGGCCUAACACAUGCAAGUCGAGCGAGCGGCGGACGGGUGAGUAAUGUCUGGGAAACUGCCUGAUGGAGGGGGAUAACUACUGGAAACGGUAGCUAAUACCGCAUAACAUCAGAUGUGCCCAGAUGGGAGUAGCUAGUAGGUGGGGUAACGGCGCACCAGGGCGACGAUCCCUAGCUGGUCUGAGAGGAUGACCAGCCACACUGGAACUGAGACACGGUCCAGACUCCUACGGGAGGCAGCAGUGGGGAAUAUUGCACUAUGGGCGCAAUCCUGGUGCAGCCAUGCCGCGUGUGUGAAGAAGGCCUUCGGGUUGUAAAGCACUUUCAGCGGGGAGGCGUUACCCGCAGAAGAAGCACCGGCUAACUCCGUGCCAGCAGCCGCGGUAAUAC